rnacentral:rRNA from 1 species
AACGAACGCUGGCGGCAUGCCUAACACAUGCAAGUCGAACGAGACCUUCGGGUCUAGUGGCGCACGGGUGCGUAACGCGUGGGAACCUGCCCUUAGGUUCGGAAUAACUCCCCGAAAGGGGUGCUAAUACCGGAUAAUGUCUUCGGACCAAAGAUUUAUCGCCUUUGGAUGGGCCCGCGUUGGAUUAGCUAGUUGGUAGGGUAAAAGCCUACCAAGGCGACGAUCCAUAGCUGGUCUGAGAGGAUGAUCAGCCACACUGGGACUGAGACACGGCCCAGACUCCUACGGGAGGCAGCAGUGGGGAAUAUUGGACAAUGGGCGAAAGCCUAAUCCAGCAAUGCCGCGUGAGUGAUGAAGGCCUUAGGGUUGUAAAGCUCUUUUACCCGGGAUGAUAAUGACAGUACCGGGAGAAUAAGCUCCGGCUAACUCCGUG